UUUCGAAGUAAGUCACUAGAGGAACGCAAAGCUUUUCUUAAAGAAAAUGGCAUCUGUUUCAGAUGUUGCUCUUCUACCAUUCACCAGGCAAAGAACUGUGAAGUAGCUUUGAAGUGCACAGAAUGUGAGAGCGACAGCCAUAUUGCAGCACUGCAUCCUGGACCCCCACCAUGGGACAGGAAAAGUCCCUCCUCAGAGCAUGGUGGGGAGGGUGAAAGAGAAACACUUCAGAUGGCAGUCACCUCUAGGUGCACGGAGGUCUGUGAUAACAGUAAGGAACCUAGAUCCUGUUCCAAGAUUUGCCUAGUGAAAGUUUAUCCUAAAGCAUGCCCUGACAAAGCUGUGAAAAUGUAUGUCAUUCUGGACGACCAGAGCAACAGGUCCUUGGCCAGGUCUGAAUUCUUUGACCUCUUUCAAAUUGAAGGGUCGAACUCGCCAUACAUUCUGCGCACAUGUUCAGGGGUCACUGAAGCGUUUGGGAGAAGAGCCACAGGGUUCAUGGUGGAGUCACUGGAUGAAACAACAAGCGUGAUGCUUCCUACACUCAUUGAAUGCAAUCACGUGCCGAAUGACCGCACAGAGAUUCCAACUCCAGCAGCCGCACAGCACCACACACACCUGAAGUCCAUAGCUCACAAGAUACCACACCUAGAUCAAGAGGCCCAGAUACUCCUUCUUCUGGGACGCGACAUCCUCCAGGUUCACAAAGUCAGAGAACAACGCAAUGGGCCACCUAGAGCACCCUACGCUCAAAGACUAGACCUUGGCUGGGUUGUUAUAGGUAACGUCUGCUUGGGCUCAGCCCAAAAAACAGAGUCUGUAAAUUCUUUUCGGACUAACAUGCUUGAAAAUGGACGUCCAUCUCUCCUUACUCCAUGUCCCAAUCAUAUUCAAGUCAAGGAGAGGUUUGGCAAUGAAGGACUACACUGCACAUCUCUUCACGGCCUUACAAACCACACCCCAGUCCUCCAUGACUGCAGCCUCGGCAGCACGAUUUUUGAGAGAACUAAGGAUGAUGACAAAGUGGGUCUCUCCAUCGAAGAUGAUCUUUUCCUGGAGAUUAUGGAUAAAGAAAUGUUUAUAGAUGAGUCUAAUAGCUGGGUGGCGCCUCUUCCAUUUCGAUCACCACGGUGACAGCUGCCAAACAAUCGAG
ensembl:lncRNA